rnacentral:lncRNA from 1 species
GACAAAGGUUUUAGAACUCGGCAUUCAUGUUGUUGUUUUUCUUUGUGCACGAAUUAUUUUAUGGGGUGUUGUCCAACUUGACUCUUUUUCACUCAAAAAAAUUUCUUUUCAGUAUCACAUUAAUGCAUGAGUCUUUAAUCUAGGCAAGUGCUUAUACUUCAUUUUUAUUUUUCAUUUCUUUUCUCUUUCUUUUUUUUUCUCGGUAGAAACUGAUGUUUCUACACAGUUUUUCUUUUCUUUUUGUUGCACUUACCCCUUUUUCAAAAUUUCUUCUAAGGAUUACCACCCCAAACUUAUCUUUUUGCACAAAUUUUACACUACAACAGUCGUGCUGAGCGAGGGUAGGAAGUGUUUGGCUUAUGGUUAACAUGGUGGUUUACACAAACAAGGGGGUACAAGCUCAACGGGGUUAACAACGGAUAAAUACAAUAUUAUCG